rnacentral:rRNA from 1 species
UACAGAGGGUGCGAGCGUUAAUCGGAAUUACUGGGCGUAAAGCGUGCGUAGACGGCUAUCUAAGUCGGGUGUGAAAGCCCCGGGCUCAACCUGGGAAUUGCAUUCGAGACUGAAUAGCUAGGGUGCGGUAGAGGGAAGCGGAAUUUCCGGUGUAGCGGUGAAAUGCGUAGAUAUCGGAAGGAACACCUGUGGCGAAAGCGGCUCACUGGACCAUAACUGACGCUGAGGCGCGAAAGCCAGGGGAGCAAACGGG